UGGGGCAUGGUGCAAUGGCAGCACACCGGCCUUUGGAGCCGUGGAUCUUGGUUCGAAUCCAGGUGCCCCAGCCA
rnacentral:tRNA from 4 species